rnacentral:rRNA from 1 species
AUACGUAGGGGGCAAGCGUUAUCCGGAAUUAUUGGGCGUAAAGAGUACGUAGGCGGUUACUUAAGCGUGGGGUGAAAGGCUAUGGCUUAACCAUAGUAAGCCUUGCGAACUGGGUAACUUGAGUGCAGGAGAGGAAAGCGGAAUUCCUAGUGUAGCGGUGAAAUGCGUAGAUAUUAGGAAGAACACCAGUGGCGAAGGCGGCCUGCUGGACGACAACUGACGCUGAGGCGCGAAAGCGUGGGGAGC